CCUGAUGGCCAACUUGUUGCUCCGCCUCACGCUGACCUGUGCUCGCCUUAUGGCUGAACUGUUGCUCCGAGUCCGCCUGACGAGCCACCUGUUUCUCCGGAUCUGUUUCUCCGCCUAACGGCGACCUGUUUCUCCGAACCUGUUUCUCCGGACCUGUUUCUCCGCCUAACGGCGACCUGUUUCUCCGGACCUGUUUCUCCGCCUAACGCCCGAGCUGUUGCUCCGCCUAACGCCUGACCUGUGCUCGCCUCACGCCCAGCCUGUUGAUCGGUGGACGGGUAAGCGCGCAUGGCAUCGGAAGGAGCUCGAAAAGUAUAAGGUGAUGACAGUAAGUAACGUUACUGUGAUUUGUGAUCUUUCUGGGGUGUUAACUGUAAAGCAAUGGAUAAUUGCGUGAAAAUCAAACUAAAAGAAUGCAAUCUUGAGGAGUUAAUCCCCACAUUUGAAGGAGCGAACCUUUCCUCGUUUUUAGGUCAAUUUGAAUACAAUUCAGAGGGGUGGCAUGGGGGCGCAGUGGGUAGUGCUGUCGCCUCACAGCAAGAUGGUCGCUGGUUUGAGCCUUGGAUGGGUUUCCCCUCCACAGUCCAAUGACAUGCGGUGUAGCUGAAUUGGAUUGGGACCAAUAUUGCUGAGUAUCUUCAUCCAUUGAAUUCAAGAAUCUAUUGAGUUUCCUCAUGUUCUCAUCCUUGGAGACCACCACUUCUUUCAAGCCUUUGCUCACGUGCUGUGC
rnacentral:lncRNA from 1 species